rnacentral:rRNA from 1 species
GCGGCGUGCUUAACACAUGCAAGUCGAACGAUGAACCACUUCGGUGGGGAUUAGUGGCGAACGGGUGAGUAACACGUGGGCAAUCUGCCCUUCACUCUGGGACAAGCCCUGGAAACGGGGUCUAAUACCGGAUAACACUCCUGCCUGCAUGGGUGGGGGUUAAAAGCUCCGGCGGUGAAGGAUGAGCCCGCGGCCUAUCAGCUUGUUGGUGAGGUAGUGGCUCACCAAGGCGACGACGGGUAGCCGGCCUGAGAGGGCGACCGGCCACACUGGGACUGAGACACGGCCCAGACUCCUACGGGAGGCAGCAGUGGGGAAUAUUGCACAAUGGGCGAAAGCCUGAUGCAGCGACGCCGCGUGAGGGAUGACGGCCUUCGGGUUGUAAACCUCUUUCAGCAGGGAAGAACGAAAGUGACGGUACCUGCAGAAGAAGCGCCGGCUAACUACGUGCCAGCAGCCGCGGUAAUACGUAGGGCGCAAGCGUUGUCCGGAAUUAUUGGGCGUAAAGA